UCGUAACAAGGUUUCCGUAGGUGAACCUGCGGAAGGAUCAUUAAUGAAUUUUGAAAGGGGUUGUAGCUGGCCGUCUCUUUGGGGCGGCAUGUGCACGCCCUGAUCACUAUCCAUCUCACACACCUGUGCACACACUGUAGGUUGGCUUGUGAUCGGAGUUACGGUCUUCAUUGACUUUGCUCUGGUUGGAGGCCCUCCUAUGUAUUAUCACAAACUACUUCAGUUUAAAGAAUGUACUCUUGCGUCUAACGCAUUUAAAUACAACUUUCAGCAACGGAUCUCUUGGCUCUCGCAUCGAUGAAGAACGCAGCGAAAUGCGAUAAGUAAUGUGAAUUGCAGAAUUCAGUGAAUCAUCGAAUCUUUGAACGCACCUUGCGCUCCUUGGUAUUCCGAGGAGCAUGCCUGUUUGAGUGUCAUGGAACUCUCAACUCUAUUUGCUUUUGUGAAUAGAGCUUGGAUUUGGAGGUUUAUUGCUGGUACUUGUGAUCGGCUCCUCUUGAAUGCAUUAGCUCGAACCUUUGCGGAUCAGCUAUCGGUGUGAUAAUUGUCUACGCCGUUGCAGUGAAGCAUAUCAAUGGGCUCGGCUUCCAAUCGUCCUUUACUGGACAAUGACUUUGACCUCUGACCUCAAAUCAGGUAGGAUUACCCGCUGAACUUAAGCAUAUCA
rnacentral:misc_RNA from 1 species